rnacentral:rRNA from 1 species
GAUGAACGCUAGCUACAGGCUUAACACAUGCAAGUCGAGGGGAAACGACAUCGAAAGCUUGCUCUUGAUGGGCGUCGACCGGCGCACGGGUGAGUAACGCGUAUCCAACCUGCCCAUCACUUGGGAAUAACUUUGCGAAAGUAAGACUAAUACCCAAUGAUAUCCCACGAAGGCAUCGGAAUGGGAUUAAAGAUUUAUCGGUGAUGGAUGGGGAUGCGUCUGAUUAGCUUGUUGGCGGGGUAACGGCUCACCGAGGCAACGAUCAGUAGGGGUUCUGAGAGGGAGGUCCCCUACAGGUGAACUGAGACACGGUGCAAGAGCCUACGGGCAGAAGCAGUGAGGAAGAUGGGGCAGUGAACGAGGGCCUGAGCCAGCCAAGUAGCGGGCAGGAAGCCGGGUGUGGGGGUUGUAAACUGCUUUUGUAAGGGAAUAAAGUGGGUGACGUGGGACUUUUUGCAGGUACCUUAUGAAUAAGGACCGGCUAAUUCCGUG